rnacentral:misc_RNA from 1 species
GCUAUCCCUCCCCCUCAAUUUCCUCGGCAGUGUUUAUCGUGAGACCAUACAGAGUCUUGUUGACAUGAAGUCAAUGUUUCAAUUACUUGAGGAGAGAGCUGAUAUUAGAGAUAAAGAUGUUGCAAAGCCUCUUAAGUUAAAUCGGGGUAGCAUACAGUUUGAGAACGUGCACUUCAGUUACUUGGUGGAAAGAAAGAUUCUUGAUGGCAUAUCUUUUGUUGUACCAGCUGGAAAAAGUGUGGCUAUUGUUGGGACAAGUGGCAGUGGCAAGUCAACUAUUCUUAGAUUGCUCUUCAGGUUUUUUGACACUGAUUCUGGAAGUAUAAAAAUUGAUGGUCAAGAUAUACGAGAUGUUACACUGGAGAGUCUGAGAAGGUCUAUUGGUGUUGUCCCACAAGACACAGUACUAUUCAAUGAUACGAUAUUUCACAACAUUCAUUAUGGUCGUCUUUCAACAACAGAAGAGGAAGUGUAUGAUGCUGCUCGACGUGCUGCAAUCCAUGACACUAUAUUGAAUUUCCCUGAGAAAUAUUCUACUGUGGUGGGGGAGCGAGGGCUCAAGUUGUAUUUCAGCUCAUUUGGACUGUACACAAUUCAUGGACUGAAAUUAUUGCUUAGAAUGGUGGUUUUGCAAUUGCAAGGGGCAUUAACAACCACACAACCUGGAAAGUUCUCAAAUGGAUUAUUCCUUGAUGUGUGUUGGACUGCACUGCAUACAUUUAUCAUGGACUGAACUUUUGGAGUAAGUUACAUUUAAGCGGUGGUGAGAAGCAACGUGUUGCGCUGGCACGUGCAUUUUUGAAAGCCCCUCCUAUUCUGCUGUGUGAUGAAGCUACAAGUGCACUUGACAGCACAACAGAAGCAGAGAUAUUAAGUGCAUUGAAGUCAUUAGCCAAUAAUCGAACUUCAAUUUUCAUUGCUCACAGGCUUACAACUGCAAUGCAGUGUGAUGAGAUAAUAGUUCUGGAGAAUGGGAAGGUGGUUGAGCAGGGACCCCAUGAAGUUCUAUUAACCAAGGCAGGGAGAUAUGCACAGUUAUGGGCACAG